UACGUAGGGUGCAAGCGUUGUCCGGAAUUAUUGGGCGUAAAGGGCUCGUAGGCGGUCUGUCACGUCGGGAGUGAAAACUCAGGGCUUAACCCUGAGCCUGCUUCCGAUACGGGCAGACUAGAGGUAUGCAGGGGAGAACGGAAUUCCUGGUGUAGCGGUGAAAUGCGCAGAUAUCAGGAGGAACACCGGUGGCGAAGGCGGUUCUCUGGGCAUUACCUGACGCUGAGGAGCGAAAGCCAGGGGAGCAAACGGG
rnacentral:rRNA from 1 species